GCGGGGGUAGCGAAGCCUGGUCAACCGCGUAGGACUCAAGAUCCUAUCCCUUAGUGGGUUCAAGGGUUCGAAUAGUCGACUCGGAAGGCGACGACCGAGCGGCAACGAAAGUCCCUUCCCCCGCA
rnacentral:tRNA from 1 species